rnacentral:ncRNA from 1 species
CGAAGGUUUGGUCCUGGCCUCAAUAUUAAUUGUAACUUGACUUACACAUGCAAGUCUCAGCAUCCCGGUGAGAACGCCCUAAUCAGCCUACACACAUCCAAUUAGGAGCUGGUAUCAGGCACACUACUCCAAAGCAGCCCAUAACACCUCGCUCAGCCACACCCACAAGGGAACUCAGCAGUGAUAAACAUUGUUCCAUAAGCGUAAGCUUGAGUCAAUCAAAGUUAAAAGAGUUGGUUAAUCUCGUGCCAGCCACCGCGGUUAUACGAGUAACCCAAAUUAAUAUUUCACGGCGUUAAGGGUGAUUAGAAAUAUCUUACUCAAAAUAAAGCUAAGACCCCAUUAAGCUGUCAUACGCUAUCAUGCUUAAAAACACCACUCACGAAAGUAACUUUAUACAAACAGAGUUUUUGACUUCACGACAGUUAAGACCCAAACUAGGAUUAGAUACCCUACUAUGCUUAACCGUAAACAUCGUUAUAAAUAAAACCACCUUAAAAUACCGCCCGAAUACUACAAGCGCUAGCUUAAAAUCCAAAGGACUUGGCGGUGCUCCAAACCCACCUAGAGGAGCCUGUUCUAUAACCGAUAAUCCGCGUUUAACCUCACCACUUCUUGCCCUUCCCGCCUAUAUACCGCCGUCGUCAGCUCACCCUAUGAAGGCACAACAGUAAGCAUAAUAACCUUUACCCUCAAUACGUCAGGUCGAGGUGUAGCGAAUGAAGUGGGAAGAAAUGGGCUACAUUAUCUUUCUAGAAUACACGGACAGAAGCAUGAAAAACUUCUUAAAGGUGGAUUUAGCAGUAAGUAAAUUUUAGAACAUUAUACUGAAAUCGGCUCUGGAGCGCGCACACACCGCCCGUCACUCUCCUCGAAAAACCACCAUAAAUUUUAUAAAAAAAAUUCCAAACAAGAGGAGGCAAGUCGUAACAUGGUAAGUGUACUGGAAAGUGCACUUGGAUUAAC